rnacentral:rRNA from 1 species
CCUACGGGUGACAGCAGUGAGGAAUAUUGGUCAAUGGCCGUAAGGCUGAACCAGCCAAGUCGCGUGAAGGAAGACGGACCUAUGGGUUGUAAACUUCUUUUAUAGGGGAAUAAAGGUAUCCACGUGUGGCUAUUUGCAUGUACCCUAUGAAUAAGCAUCGGCUAACUCCGUGCCAGCAGCCGCGGUAAUACGGAGGAUGCGAGCGUUAUCCGGAUUUAUUGGGUUUAAAGGGAGCGUAGGUUGUUUUUUAAGUCAGUUGUGAAAGUUUGUGGCUCAACCGUAAAAUUGCCGUUGAAACUGGAAGACUUGAGUGUGUUUGAGGUAGGCGGAAUGCGUGGUGUAGCGGUGAAAUGCAUAGAUAUCACGAAGAACUCCGAUUGCGAAGGCAGCUUACUAAGCCGUAACUGACACUGAAGCACGAAAGCGUGGGGAUCAAACAGGAUUAGAUACCCGAGUAGUC